AGGGUUCUUACAUGUUAUCAAUAGGAGUGCAUAUUUCUAUAAGCUAUUGGAUAAAAACUUAACCAUGGACGUCAAUUUUUAAGUCUGCAUAAUCUUUUACACCACAUUUUUCAGAAUCAGUCCAGCAGAAAGGCCACUGUGAACACUGGAAAGUGUCUAUUGUCAGCUUUCUUCAUCUGAGACCAGUGAUCCUGUCAUUCACAAGUGAGCUGAAAUCCCAAGGUCCUGAACAGCCAGUGGGUACAUCCUGCAGCAGCACUGUGGUCCUUACAGCACAGUGGUAACCCUGGGGCACCUCUACCUACUACAUGCGUCCAGAGCCAGCUAACCCUCCAGCCUCGAAGCCCUCUCUGCACCCAGUUCCCCGGGCACUCUUGGACCUGCACCUGUGCUCUGGCCUCUCUCUGCCACUAUCAGCACACACCAUGCUAACUCCCAGGCCUGCAUUUGACUUCCUCAGGAACUCUCUCCCGUGCUUCCUCUUGUUAAAAUCUCUUCUUUCUCUUCAGGGUCUGGUGAUGGCAACUUCCAAUGGUGACCUGCCUGCAGCACAUGCGGGUGCAGUAGCAACACAAACGCUGUGGAAGUAAUCAACAAUUCUCUAACUGGACUUAAGGCCUGCUCCAGGCCUUGGAAUUUAUUCCUGACCCUGCUCUGGUUGCCAUGAACCUGAGACUGCAUAGGCCAUGGUCCUAUAGGAAAACCAAAUGCCAAUAAGGGACACAGAAACAUUCUACUAUACCAUAAAACAGUGUCUCACUAAGCCAUCAUCAG
rnacentral:lncRNA from 1 species